UCCAAUGAUGGCAUGAUAUCUUUGAGACCUGAUUUAUUCUUGAUGACAACUACAAGCAUUUACGCUGAGGAU